CCCUGUGGUGUUUACCCAGGCACAGCCCCCCAGCCCAGGGGCGGGGGCCGAGCUGGGGGAUAAAAGGACCUGAAGUCCUCAAAGAGGCACCGCAGUCUUCAGUUCUGCUCUGCCGCUGCCAUGAAACGUCUGUGGGUCGCGGUGCUGCUGCUGCUCUGUGUGUGCCAUGUGGGGGCCGUGGCCGUGCCCCAAAC